GUGCCAUUGUGAGCUUGUUGUUUAUGGUAUACACACACAUACAUUCACAUGUAUGUAUAGGAGCAACAUCCUGUGAUACAACUGUGUGACAGAGACAGGUGAUAUUUUUACUACCAACUGCCAUCUGUGUUCUCUCCUUUGGCAUCCAGUAAGAUUGGACUUGUCUUCCUGUUCUGCUCCCCUUGUAUGCUGGUUGGAUGUGGAGGCUCUAGUAGAGAACAUCAAGGGCUUAGAAGAAGAUGGGAGGAGACUGGAAUCCAGAAAUACCCCUGGGAGGCUGCCUGCCAAACAACUUACUGGACCAUGGAGAGUGCUGACAUCAGCCAGGAUUUUGAAGUAUGUGAAUUCCAGUCUCCUUGUUGGUUGGGAGAAGAUGACCUUGAAAGAGCACUGGAAACAGAAAGGAAAGCUACCUUGCCUUGCUCCUUAAAUCAAUUCUCAGAGAACAGUGCUGGCCUCUCCACUGCCAUACAGCAUUCUUUAGUUUUAGGAUCUCUAAUUGGCUUCCAUCACUCCCAAGUCCUUCCAGUUUGAAAAACACUUGAAUUGAUUGCUUUUUGGAGAUCUCUUCCAGAUUUGUCUUAUGGGCGGUCUUGUGGUUUAGUUAUUUAUAUCACAG
rnacentral:lncRNA from 1 species